rnacentral:rRNA from 1 species
GCGAACGCUGGCGGCAGGCCUAACACAUGCAAGUCGAACGAACCUUUCGGGGUUAGUGGCGGACGGGUGAGUAACACGUGGGAACGUGCCUUUAGGUUCGGAAUAACUCAGGGAAACUUGUGCUAAUACCGAAUGUGCCCUUCGGGGGAAAGAUUUAUCGCCUUUAGAGCGGCCCGCGUCUGAUUAGCUAGUUGGUUGAGGUAAUGGCUCACCAAGGCGACGAUCAGUAGCUGGUCUGAGAGGAUGAUCACCCACAUUGGGACUGAGACACGGCCCAAACUCCUACGGGAGGCAGCAGUGGGGAAUCUUGCGCAAUGGGCGAAAGCCUGACGCAGCCAUGCCGCGUGAAUGAUGAAGGUCUUAGGAUUGUAAAAUUCUUUCACCGGGGACGAUAAUGACGGUACCCGGAGAAGAAGCCCCGGCUAACUUCGUG